UUAGAGCUUGAUCAUGGCUCAGAUUGAACGCUGGCGGCAGGCCUAACACAUGCAAGUCGAGCGGAUGAGAGGAGCUUGCUCCUGGAUUCAGCGGCGGACGGGUGAGUAAUGCCUAGGAAUCUGCCUGGUAGUGGGGGACAACGUUUCGAAAGGAACGCUAAUACCGCAUACGUCCUACGGGAGAAAGCAGGGGACCUUCGGGCCUUGCGCUAUCAGAUGAGCCUAGGUCGGAUUAGCUAGUUGGUGAGGUAAUGGCUCACCAAGGCGACGAUCCGUAACUGGUCUGAGAGGAUGAUCAGUCACACUGGAACUGAGACACGGUCCAGACUCCUACGGGAGGCAGCAGUGGGGAAUAUUGGACAAUGGGCGAAAGCCUGAUCCAGCCAUGCCGCGUGUGUGAAGAAGGUCUUCGGAUUGUAAAGCACUUUAAGUUGGGAGGAAGGGUUGUAGAUUAAUACUCUGCAACUUUGACGUACC
rnacentral:rRNA from 1 species